CGGAAUACCGGUUCUCGUUAGAUCACCGAAGUCAAGCAUCAUUGGGCGCGGUCAGUACUUGGAUGGGUGACCACCUGGGAACACCGCGGGCCGU
rnacentral:rRNA from 1 species